rnacentral:RNase_P_RNA from 1 species
ACUACAAGUCGCCCUAUCGCGGCUUAUUCUUGAUCUUUCUUAAUGAAAUGAUCAGGAAUAAGAUGAGGAAAGUCCGAACAACGCAGAGCGCUGCAUCGCCUAACGGGCGGGGUUCUUGCUUAGCAGGAAUACAGCUAGUGUCGCAGAAAAUAACCGCCUCAAUUUUAUUGAGGUAAGGGUGAAAAUGUGUGGUAAGAGCACACGCUUUGGUAAGGUAACUUAUCAGGGGGAUAAACCUUGCGGGUUGAAAUGUCAUGUAUACCAGUGACUUACUUACCUUGGUAAGUAUAAGAGAGUUGCUCGCUCGAUUGCUGGAGGGUAGGCAGAUAGAGGGUAGGAGUAAUCCUAUUCGUAGAUAAAUGAUAGGGGUUCUUACUUUUGUGAGAAUUACAGAAUUCGGCUUAUAGACUUGUAGUUUUU